CCGUCCGCCCUCCCUCCCUCGCGCUCUCUCGCGCUCGCUCGCUCGCUCGCUCCAGUAUGUAAAUGUGUAAUAGAAGCCAAAUAUGGAGCAGUUGGCUGCCGCCGCCGCAGCUCAAGGAUCCGACUUGGGGGUGGGGGGGGGCACCCUCUGGCGGGCGGCAGGGCGAGCCGCUCGGAGCACCGAGAGCGCACGGCGCGGCGGCCGGCCGGCCGGCGCCCUUAACCCUUGGCUGCGCGCUGCCGGGGCUCCGCGGCCCCCCGGGAGGCGGCGCGUGGCCCGACCCGGCCCGGCCGCGGGGGGGGGGGGGGGGGGGCCGGGGGGGGGGGGGGGGGGCGGCUCAGGCCGGAGGGGACGCUUCUUCCAGGUUUGGGAAAGGGGCGGGGAGCUGAAGCGAUGAGGUAAUUUUAGCGGUGACCGGUCGGUCCUCGCGCGCCUCCCCGGGCCCCUGCACCUAGUUGGAGGGGACCGAGCGACCGCGGGGUGCAACUCGGGGCGCCCUGGAGGACUCUCCGAGGGGUGUCGGGCUUCAGCUCGGAGCCAGCGAAGUACCCCAGGGGGAGGAAUGGGGGGGGGUCGAGUCUGAUCCCGAUGUGCCCUUCGUCCCAGGCGCGCCGGGAAUCGUCCAAGAGGACUAACUCGGAUCGCCGUGCACGUUAGCCCUCCAAGCCGGUUUCGUUCCGGAACCAGGACCACGGGGCUGCGGGGAUUGCCUCGGCGUGCAACUCAGGAAAGUCUGCAAAUCUGCCCUGGGUACUGGAGUACCCAGCUCCCGCCUUGGAAGACGACCCGCGCGCUCCACUCGCACCUAAUUCGGGAUCAUUAAUUUAAUCGGAAAUGAGGUAACCAGUGCAGGAGAUACAGAAAGCAAACCGAGCAUCAAAUGGCAGUUCUGGUGAAUCCACGCUGAAGAACUUCCUCUGCGCUCAAUUUUCAAGCGCGGUUCUCAACUGCCCACCACCCCGCCCCCUCCGCGUGUACCACCGCUGGGUGCUAGCAUCCCGGGGAGGAAAUCUUAUGUGGAAGGGUGCACCUUGCCAACAGGUGUGGCACCUGGAGGAAGAGAAGGCACAUCCAUGCGGAAGGGAGCUCGGUGCGGCGUUCUCCCUGCUGCAGAUAAUUCUGGAAGACCAGUAGGUGUCGGGGCAGCAUUUGACCUCUUUCAGGUGCUUAGAACCAAGUGUCUAGAAACACGAUCUUUCCACGUAAGUUUCUCUCUGCAAGCCACCACUAUUGACUGUAAGCUGUAUCUGAGAAACCUUUGGCUGAGUUUGCUUAUGACCUAACGGUUAGUCACCAACCGAAGCAGGGUACAGAAUCACCCAGAGAAAUGUGUCAGCUUUGAAACAACUGUAUUGUAGAGCCAACGUGCUCCAGAAAUGAAAAUAAGGCUGCUAACAACUAGGAAGGUGUGGAGCCCCGGAAAUAAUUUUUUUCUCGCAUUUUGAAAUAUCAUGCACAUAUACGUGGCUAUUUAAAUAAGACUACUGUUCACUCUUACUCGUUUCUACAACUUUUUCUUUUUCUUUUUUUUUCCAUUUAAAAAGCAAUGCUUGUUACAGUUUAAACCCCAGGUUGGUCUAAAGUGGCAUUGUUGGUCUCAUUACAGCCUCUAGUGGACAGUUAAAAUCAGUUUCCUGAAAAGGCUCUUCCUGGUGUUUUGUUGUUGACAAGCAUUGUCAAGGUGAAGGCUAAUAUCUCAGAAGGUAAGUGGGGAGUAGCUCCUCCCUCCCCCUGCUUGGCCGAGUGGGUUCCUGAAAGGAUCAGAAGCAGUUGGUUCAGCACCGAAGAGACGUAUGCUUUGUGCUGCAGGUAUAUAAUUAUUACUGGCCUGCGAAUAAACAGAGAGCUUCUGCUCCUCGUUUCUGUUUGAGACAGCUUUCAUAAAAACUAACUUCAUCUAAAAUAUUUUUGUAACAGAAAAUAUUGGUUGCCAUGUUUUUGGCUUAGCCGAGGUGUUUUUAUUCUGACUGCCCAAUCCACCUCCACUCUAUUUUUAGACAUCUUCCAUUGAGAGUAUAUUCAGCCAAAAACAGCUAAUAUUUUAAUUAUUACAUUGACACAGGCAGUUAAUUUAUUUUAACAACCUUAAACAAAUUAAAACACAUAACUCAGAUUAGAGUUAGUCAAUUAAUUUAAAUGUUCCCUUAAGGAGGCUAAAUAUGUAUAUUACCCAAACAGUAAAGACAAUUAAUAAGAAAUGUGUCAUUUCCUUUCUUAGCCAUUAAGAUUAAAGCCAUAAACUGCCA